CCAGAGGAAGAAAUCAGGGAUUAAAACCCUAGUUCUUGAUCUUGUCCAUCAAAUUCAACCUUUAAAUCACAUGAUUCUGAUUUGCAUGUUGCUGAAUUAGAGUGCCUAACACCUUCUCUUCAUAAGGCAACACGAGUGAGGCGUCGGGAAGUCAAGCUGGUGCGGACACUCGCUUAAAAGGGAAGCUUUGAGCUUCAAACAUGUCAAGUGAACGGAUGAUGAUCAAUUCAAGGCUCACGAACCGAACACAUUCAAGAAGUAGUUCCGCAACUUUUUGUCUUAGUUAAACAUUAGUGAAACCUUUGUAAUAGAAGGAAUACU